AACCUUAUGGACCUGCGGGCGUAUACCUGCGGAAGGAUCAUUACUGAGUGCGGGCCCUCUGGGUCCAACCUCCCACCCGUGUUUACCAUACCUAGUUGCUUCGGCGGGCCCGCCGUUCAACGGCCGCCGGGGGGCAUCUGCCCCCGGGCCCGCGCCCGCCGAAGACACCCUCGAACGCUGUCUGAAGGUUGCAGUCUGAGCUUGAUUAGCAAAUCAAUCAAAACUUUUAACAACGGAUCU
rnacentral:misc_RNA from 1 species